GACGAACGCUGGCGGCGUGCUUAACACAUGCAAGUCGAGCGGUAAGGCCCGUUUCGGGGGUACACGAGCGGCGAACGGGUGAGUAACACGUGGGUGACCUGCCCUCAGCCUCUGGGGAUAACGCCUGGGAAACCGGGUCUAAUACUGGAUAUGACUCCAUGACGCAUGUUGUGGGGUGGAAAGCCUUGUGCGGCUGAGGAUGGGCCCGCGGCCUAUCAGCUUGGUUGGUGGGGUGANGGCCUACCAAGGCGACGACGGGUAGCCGGCCUGAGAGGGCGACCGGCCACACUGGGACUGAGGACACGGGCCCAGGACCUCCUACGGGAGGCGAGCAGUGGGGAAUCUUGCGCAAUGGGCGAAAGCCUGACGCAGCGACGCCGCGUGAGGGAUGACGGUCCU
rnacentral:rRNA from 1 species